UACGUAGGGGGCUAGCGUUGUCCGGAAUCAUUGGGCGUAAAGAGCGUGUAGGCGGCCCGGUAAGUCCGCUGUAAAAGUCAAAGGCUUAACCUUUGAAUGUCAGUGGAUACUGCCGGGCUAGAGUCCGGAAGAGGCGAGUGGAACUCCUGGUGUAGCGGUGGAAUGCGCAGAUAUCAGGAAGAACACCAACGGCGAAGGCAGCUCGCUAGGACGGUACUGACGCUGAGACGCGAAAGCGUGGGGAGCAAACAGG
rnacentral:rRNA from 1 species